GCUGGGCAUGGUGGUGCGUACCUGUAAUCCCAGCAUCUUGGGAGGCUGAGGCAGGAGGAUUGUGAGUUCAAAUCCAGCCUCAACACAAGGGAGGUACUAAGCAAUUCAGUGAGACCCUGUCUCUA
rnacentral:sRNA from 1 species